rnacentral:tRNA from 3 species
GCCCUUGUAGUUCAACGGAUAGAAUAGAAGUUUCCUAAACUUUAGAUUCGGGUUCGAUUCCCGACGAGGGUACAA